CCCGCUGAAUUUAAGCAUAUUAGUCAGCAGAGGAAAAGAAACUAACCAGAAUUCCCUCAGUAAAGGUUAGUGAAAAGGGAAGAGCCCAGCACUGAAUCCCCACCCCGUGGUGAGGAGUGGGAAAUGUGGCUUAUGGAAGACCCUAUCCCUGGCGCUGUUUGUGGAGGGCCCAAGUCCUUCUGAUUGAGGCCCAGCCCAUGGGUGGUGUAAGGCUGGUAGUGGCCCCCAGUGUGCCAGGGCCCAGCUAUUCCCAGAGUUGGUUGCUUGCGAAUGCAGCCCAAAGUGGAUGGUAAAAUCCAUCUAAGGCUAAAUACCAGCACAGACCGAUAGUCAACAAGUACCAUAAGAGAAAGUUGAAAAGAACUUUGAAGAGAGACUUCAAGAGGGUGUGAAACCACUGUUAAGAGGUAAAUGGGUGGGGUCCAUGAAGUCUGCCCAGAGGAUUCAACAUGGUGAAGUGUGGCCAGCCAUGCCAUUGGUCCAGUGGAUCUUUCCCAUUCCCUUUUCCUCCCAACUUCAUCACCCAUCUGUCCAUCCUUGGGCCUUUG
rfam:Erinaceus europaeus unplaced genomic scaffold scaffold01172, whole genome shotgun sequence